rnacentral:rRNA from 1 species
CGGAUUGCAGGCUGCAACUCGCCUGCAUGAAGCUGGAAUUGCUAGUAAUCGCGGAUCAGCAAGCCGCGGUGAAUACGUUCCCGGGCCUUGUACACACCGCCCGUCACACCAUGAGAGUCGGGAACACCCGAAGUCCGUAGUCUAACCGCAAGGGGGGCGCGGCCGAAGGUGGGUCCGGUAAUUGGGGUGAAGUCGUAACAAGGUAGC